CCUGCACCUUGCAUUUUGCAUCCCGUCGCCCCUUGUUAGCCCGCAGCUAGUCCCGCCUGCGCCGCGCCCACAGCUCGUUGCGCCGCCCAGCACCUUGCGGGUCCCCCCCUCUCACCGCUCCGCAUGCCUCGUCGUCUCUUGCUCACCGCUGUCCGCGCCCGUCGCCCGUUCCCACUACGAUUUUUUGACUAUUUUCUGUUUCUUUACUGGUUAAUUGUCAACUUCUUUCUCAAUAAUUUUUCCCUCUUUUUUCCUCUUUUAGCUUUUAGGGUUUUUAAUUUAGUAGAAUUCUUUUUUUUUUUUUCAUUUAUAGGUUAACAAUGUGGUAUUUUUUUUUUAAUUUUUUUUUUUUGUGCAAUAAUUUACUUCUUUGAUUGCAAUCUUGCAAUAUCUUGUUUACUGUUUUAGUAUUUGCCUUCCCUUAUGUAAAACAGAGAAGGCCAAUCUUCCCUGGUUUAAGAGGAUUUAGAGUGCUUCAGUAAAUAAUUUUUAGCAGGUUGGUUUUUGCCAGUUUGUUAAAUCUAUCUUCAAACUUGAGGCUCUUCAGUUGGAAUGUUGUUGAAGUUUGAGAAGUGUAGAUAUCAUAGUUGUCAAUAUUUGAAUUUUGAUACUUUACACUAUGCAAGAUGCAGGCCUAUAGAUAUUAAUUUAACCCUAUACUCAAUUUGAUUACUCAAUUCGAUUACCAGAAAUAACUCAAAGUAAAGCGCUUGAAAGUUGAAUCAGUGCCAAUCGUAAAUUAGAAAAAAAGUUGAGAACAUUCCUUCAGAAAUAGUCGUGGGAUCUCCUUACCUUUUAUCUUCUUUUUUUUUUUUUUUUUUUUUUUUGUGGCAAUUAGCUAAAGCCAUACUACUACUGUUAAUGGCAAGCACAAAUUCAUUAAACGUGGUCGCUCUAAAUCCACCUGCUAUGAGAAGGCCAUGAAGUAUGUCUAUUUUCUAAGCACAUUGAAGCUCAGCGCUUUGUAAAGUAUUGCUGAUGAUAUCAUAUUGCUCACAUAGAGUUAGCAUCAUCAUUCUCGAGUGAAGGUUUUGUGCUGGUAUGCGCCGUGCUGCCUAUGAACUAAAAUGUUCUUAUUGUUAGUUUGAAGGAUUCUUGUUUUUGCUCCUUGUACAUGACUCAGAAGCAAAUUCACCAAGCUAGAAUGUUGUUUUACAGCGGGUGAAUCAAAACUUCAGUAUGCUUGGCUAGAUGCUGAAAAUAUUUGUAGUUUAUGGUGAUUUUUGGGAAAAAAAAAGAUGAUGAAUUGCAUGUUCUCUUUUUUGUUUUUAAGAUGACCUUUUUUUGAAAAAAUGGUGAUAGCAGUUGAUUUCAGUACUUUGUUCUAUUUUGUAAAUGUUGACUAUAUAUGUAAUGGUGUUAUAGAAACUAUAUGUACUAGGUGAAUAUUUUGGAGAGAAAUAUGAAUAUUGUGGAUGCUAAUUACUUUUAUUGUUAAUGAAGUUUUAUUAUAAGUUUA